UGGAUUUGGCCCUUUGUGUCAAUUUAACACCCUGACGUUUCCAAAAGACAUCAAUGUACCCCUGCUACCUAACGCCGUUAAUUUCAACCGUUAGCCACUGACAUUCUUGUUUUUGGAUGGGAAGGAGGGAAACACGCGUGUAUUGAUUUGACAGGUGUGUCCCCCCUCGUUGGGCUAAGGGACCACGGGUUUGUGGCGGGCCAAGCAAUAACCAAGGCAGAGGCGGCCAAAGUAGCUAAGCAUGAAAAAGCUUGCAUCAAGAAUCAACACGUGUUUGUCCCGUUCGCUUUCGAUACUUUUGGCGCUCUCGCCCCUGACGCGGUGCGGUUCCUCAAGCGGGUUCAGCAGGUGGUAAGCAGUAACACCGCGCAUGUUAAGGGGCAGAAUUUUGUGUUUAGCAGGGUAGGGUUUGCUAUUCAGAAGGGGGUAGCGGCGCAACUUGUUGCUCGUCUACCUGCCAUUAGUUUGUACUCAUCUCUAUUUUUAUAAUAUUAUAUAAUCAGUCUAUCAGAAUACAUUCUUGAGAAAAUGUAUAUUAUCCAAGUUUAUUUUGCUUCAAAAAAAAAAACGUUGUGCAGUUUACAAUUUUGAUUCGAAGUAGGUAUAUUGUGGUGAUGAAAGUUUCGUUUGGUGCAUUGACGAUGAAGUAGGGAUGUCACCAUAAGGACCAGGUUCGCCAGAAACACGAAGCUUGCAGCGUUGUGCAUCUCAAAUGUGUUCUAUAUUCAGGAUGGGAUAAUUAUAUAUAUAUAUGGAACCCAUUAAGUGGAAGUUACCUUUGAAAUCAAUAUUAUCCGUUCGAUCAUGCUGAGAUGAAAUCUCAGCCGUUUAAACUCCCAAAAAUAACCGCUAUGAUGGCGGUUUUUUUUACAGUUACUUGCAGUUUCACAGUUCCACACUCUCUCUCCCAUAAACCUGCAGUUAGCGACGGUUCUAGCUUUUCACCUAAAUUUCCGUUCUCUCUUCCCCACGUCGCCACAACUCCCCUAAAUUCCACGUUCUCCACCUACCCACAUUAUUCGCUGGUAACCUCCCAUGUUUCGGUAAACAAAUACCCUCUUCUCGCAUCUUUCCACUCUCCAGCCACCAAUCUUCGUCUUCAUCGUAUCUCUCUGUAGUAUCAGCCUCUCUCUCAAGACUUUACUAUGCUCUGCUGUGAAGCUUUUACGCAAGGGAAAGAAAGAUACAACAAUAGGAGAGGUAUGAUUAUAUCAUCUUUCAUAGUUUCACUACAAUAGAUGAAAUUAUAAUAUUUGCUUCUACAUAUAUCUAUUUCCUAAUCAAAACCAGUUGUUCACUGUUGAACAAGUUUUAUAUUGAUAUAUGCAAAUCAACAUUGAUACCACUGGAACUUUCUUGCAUGUGUAGAGUGCUCGGUGAUCAGGGCCAGAGAUGAUAAAUUAAAGGAGUAACUUUGCAGCUGAUGAUUGAGAAGAUAUGGCUAUGCUUCACAUAAUAAAUAGAAAAUAAUAUUAUUGCUGUACUUUGACCCUGUUGGUGCACACCCUACUGGUGAGAUUGGUGAACACUCACGUGGGGGUCCCCAACACUCAUAUGUUUUUUCAGUAAGUUGCCAUUGGGAGCCUACCUGAACUUAAGAGUUUUUGGAACUGACUACUUAACUAAAGAUGGAACAAGGGUACAGGAUUAUAUCCAUGUACAUUUAGCUGACGGAUACGCUGCUGCAUUGAAAAAGCUCUCUGUCCCAAAAAUAGGUGUGUCUAUGUAUUUUUUUCCUACUAAUUACAGUUUAAAGAAAUAUGCAAAAUUGAUACAUAGGGUUGUUUCAUUUGUGUCAAGCUGCUGCUGUAUUUGGAGGGAAGAGUUUGGCAACCCAAAUUAUCUGAGAGAUUUGCAUAUGAGAUUGCAGGCGCUAUUUUUUUCAUUAUCUUUGUAAUCCAGUCAUUCUUUUCACAAUAGAAUCAUAAGUAUGGAUACUAGAUACUACAAAGAGUGUAACCUUGAAAUAUUGAGGGGAAUAUCAUUUGUGUUUAACAAAAAUGUUGUGGUGACAGGUAAGUUGAAUACAAGUGCUAUUUUGAAAAUAUACAAUUUAACAGGGCUUUAGCAUUAUCAAAUCUCCAAGUCUAAUUCAAACCAACUAAAAGCUCAGUUAUAGCAGCCUCAGUUUCCAUUUUUAAUAUGCAAAGUAGAGUUUUUGCAAAAGAAGAACACCAGUUUUUAGCAUCAAAUUCCGAUGUUUAAAGCUUGCGAGUCGGCGUCAUUUUGUGUGGCUUUACUCUUAACAAUUGUAUGAAGUUUUUAAUGAGGAUUUAAGAAAAUAUUUUAAUUUUGUCAUUCUUCACUUAUCAUUAGUUAUCAACUUAUUAAUAUGACAUUUCAUUGCAAUACUUUUAGUUAUUAUUGAUACACACCUUUUCUUUGAAAUACAAACUUGUCCAUUGCUACUUCGAAACUUUACUAAGAGCGUGGGGUAUGGUGGGGCGUGGGUUGGGGACAUGGUGCGACACGUGGACUAUGGGACACCCAAGACCAAAAGCCAAUUUCAAAGGGGUAUGGUGGGGCGUGGGUUGGGAGGCGUGGAAAAAAAACCAUUUCAAAUGACUAGUACUCUUGGCCAAUGAGGUUCCGCCAUGUCAUGUGGUAGCCCCGCCCCACGCCCGGCCUAAAACUCCCGCCCAAGGGGCCACGCCCAAACCCAAGCCCACCCGGGGUGGUGACUUGGGCGUUUCUCUCCAACUCACGCCCCAACCCCCGCCCCAUACCCCAUAGUCUAAGGUAAGAAUGUUGUUUGACACACUGGCUGAACAUAACUUCAGGAUUCUUUUCCAUCUCAGCAAUCCGUGAUCCGAUUGACCUACGAUGCAGGCUCACACCAUAAUCUACAAAUAACCAGAGUGGCCUUUGAAUUGUGUUCCGGAACUUACUGCUUCAUCAAACCAAUAAAUUUUAAAGUGCUCGGAGAGGGUAUAGAGGUUGCUUCUUGAGCGCCCAGUUGGAGAUUUAGAAGUUGUUGCCUGCUGAAACAUGGGAUCUUGGAUAGAGCUUGUAACUACUCUAUACAUAUCACCACUAUAUGCUAAAAUAAUGUUUUGGCCUCUUGCACUACCAUAAAAAAGUCACUUCAAAGCUGCAGCAAAAAUGAGAGCUAUGAAGCUUGAAAAUGGUAUUUACCUUAAUGUGGUCUCGGAUUUUACAAAAACUAUUCUUUCUCUUUUGUCAACAUACUUCAUCUUUUAGACAGUGCAGUGCACUUUUUUUACUGAAAGGAGAAGCAUCAAAAUGAUCAUGAUCAUUCGUUUAUUCUUAUGUUAUCACUGACUUAGCUAUUGUUGCUUUCAACGAGGCUUGUAGGAUGAUUGGCUUUAAUUUACAUGUUCUAACGUUGAUCAUAUUGUUUUUUUUAUAUUUUUA